CAGCAAGGCCUUGGGGCUGAAGUUCUCUGUUGAUCCACAGAACAUGUACAGCAUGACUGUGACAGUGCAAGCUCCACCCACACUACCCCACCAUUGUACUUUCAUCUUAACAUAGAAGAACCACCUCUAGAAGGACACUUCAGUCCCCAGUGUCCAUUCAGUCCUUGACCGCU
rnacentral:sRNA from 1 species